GUAGGGAAUAUUGCGCAAUGGACGAAAGUCUGACGCAGCGACGCCGCGUGAGUGAUGAAGGCCUUAGGGUCGUAAAGCUCUGUUGAAUGGGAAGAAAAAAAUGACGGUACCAUUCGAGGAAGGACCGGCUAACUUCGUGCCAGCAGCCGCGGUAAUACGAGGGGUCCUAGCGUUGUUCGGAAUCAUUGGGCGUAAAGGGUGUGUAGGUGGCCAUGUAAGUCAGGUGUGAAAGCCCCGGGCUCAACCCGGGAAGUGCACUUGAUACUGCGUGGCUUGAGUACCGAAGAGUGUAGUGGAAUUCCAGGUGUAGUGGUGAAAUACGUAGAUAUCUGGAGGAACACCGGUGGCGAAGGCGGCUACCUGGUCGAGUACUGACACUGAGGUGCGAAAGCGUGGGGAGCAAACAGGAUUAGAAACCCGAGUAGUCC
rnacentral:rRNA from 1 species